CCGAGGCGCAUUAAUGACCUGCUCAGGCCUAAUCCUUCACGCCACGCCAACACCGUUGUCAGACGUGGCCGGGAGUACGAUCCUGCUCCCUGCAAAACAGGCACAACAGACACAGUAAGUCACCCUAUAAAAACCCCGCUCCCGAGAGGAGCAAAAUGGGGGGAGGAAACACACACAAAAAAGACCUCUUCACUUCAUCUGACUUGAUCGUCGGAGGGGUCGGGCCGAGCUUCGACCCGACCUGUGUGCAGGUACGAAGACGGAGCUACUUCCCCACCAACGUCGAGGAGAGGGACCCUUCCAUACGGGACGUCCCG
rnacentral:lncRNA from 1 species